rnacentral:rRNA from 1 species
UACGAAGGGGGCUAGCGUUGUUCGGAAUUACUGGGCGUAAAGCGCACGUAGGCGGAUACUUAAGUCAGGGGUGAAAUCCCGGGGCUCAACCCCGGAACUGCCUUUGAUACUGGGUAUCUCGAGUCCGGAAGAGGUGAGUGGAAUUCCGAGUGUAGAGGUGAAAUGCGUAGAUAUUGGGAGGAACACCAGUGGCGAAGGCGGCUCACUGGACCGGAACUGACGCUGAGGCGCGAAAGCGUGGGGAGCAAACAGG